GAUGAACGCUGGCGGCGUGCCUAAUACAUGCAAGUCGAGCGAACAGACGAGGAGCUUGCUCCUCUGACGUUAGCGGCGGACGGGUGAGUAACACGUGGAUAACCUACCUAUAAGACUGGGAUAACUUCGGGAAACCGGAGCUAAUACCGGAUAAUAUAUUGAACCGCAUGGUUCAAUAGUGAAAGACGGUUUUGCUGUCACUUAUAGAUGGAUCCGCGCCGCAUUAGCUAGUUGGUAAGGUAACGGCUUACCAAGGCGACGAUGCGUAGCCGACCUGAGAGGGUGAUCGGCCACACUGGAACUGAGACACGGUCCAGACUCCUACGGGAGGCAGCAGUAGGGAAUCUUCCGCAAUGGGCGAAAGCCUGACGGAGCAACGCCGCGUGAGUGAUGAAGGUCUGCGGAUCGUAAAACUCUGUUAUUAGGGAAGAACAAAUGUGUAAGUAACGAUGCACGUCUUGACGGGACCUAAUCAGAAAGCCACGGCUAACUACGU
rnacentral:rRNA from 1 species